CCCUUAGAUGUCCUGGGCCGCACGCGUGCUACACUGAAGCAUACAGCGAGCACUUUCCAGUUCCGAGAGGCUACUGGUAAUCAUCAAUAUGCGUCGUGAUGGGGAUAGAUCUUUGGAAUUCUGGAUCUUGAACGAGGAAUGCCUAGUAAUCGCAGGUCAUUAGCCUGCGAUGAUUAAGUCCCUGCCCUUUGUACACACCGCCCGUCGCUACUACCGAUUUCGAGUGGUCAGGUGAAUCUUUCGGACUGUGGGCGCCCUUGAGGUGUUCGCGGAAAGUCAGGUAAAUCUUAUCACUUAGAGGAAGUAAAAGUCGUAACA
rnacentral:rRNA from 1 species